rnacentral:lncRNA from 1 species
GGCCACGUCUUUGAGAAGGGGAGCAGGUGGAAUCCAGGUGUCAGGCCUGGGCUCCUCCAGGGACUGGUCACAGCCCAAUGGGGUUUAAGGGCAAACUCUUAAAAUCAGCCCUGUAGUGACAGGGGGCCAGGCCCCAUCGCAGGGCUCCUGGAGUGUCGCCUUUGCCGUCUCCUCCGGAAAGCCCUCCAAGGCUGGAGGCUGGCUCUCUCACACUCUUGGUUGUUGUCACCCCUUUUUUAGGGCUGCGCUGGCAGUAUAUGGAAGCUCCCAAGCUAGGGGUCGAAUCGGAGCUACAGCUGCCAACCUACACCACAGCCACGGCAACGUGGGAUCCAUGCUGCAUCUGUGACCUACACCACAGCUCAUAGCAACGCCUGAUCCCCAACCCACUGAUCGAAGCCACAUCCCCACGGAUACUAGUCAGACUUGUUUCCGCUGCGCCACAAUGGGAACUCCCAAAAGCCAACACAUUUCAAACCUGGUUUCUGUUCUACGCCAUCGUCUUGCCAAUCACGUGGCUGUGGAGAGGCGUGGGAGGCACCGUGAAGCCACCAGGAGACCGACUCUCAGGGAGGCCGACAAGCGACCGCCCUUCUGUGAGGCUUGGUCCCCUCACCUGCAAACUGGCGGUGAUCUUCCAGGGUGAUCAGGGCUCAAGGGGAGCACCCACGGGGCAUCCUCGGGUUCUGGAAGCUGUUCAACCCCCCCCCCCCCCCCCGCCUCAGGCUUCCAAACUUCUUUCCAGGCGUGUUGAACCCGCCUUGGUCAUCCCCAAAUGCCGAUGACCAUUUAUCUUAUUCACAAACCAUUUUGUGUAUCCCUGGAUUGUUUUACAGUUUUAACAUUUUAUUGUUUUGUCUUGUUACUUUUAGCUUUUAUUAAAGCUGCCAAUUUUUAUAAUCAAUUUUCUGUUUGUAUUGUUUACCUUCCUUGACAUUGUGAUUUGAAAGGAUGUCUCUCUCUCUCUUUUAACGCUCUUAUCUGCUCUGUGUUUUAGAAGGUCAAGAAGUUUGCUGACCGACUAACAGAAUGAUCAAAACGUCCCACACCCAGGCUUUCCUUCUCAAACCCCAGAACUGCAGGGUCAGGGAGUCCUCUGCGGUCCGGGUGGGCCGCAGGGCUGAUGGAUGCUGGAAAAAAUGUUGACGAUGAGAUGCGGAGAUGACCCAUGAAGUAACCCUGCCCAACGCGGGGCACCCUUCUGCGAGGCCCAAGGCCCGCCAUGUAGACCUGUGGGUCCCCCUGCAGGGUUUUCCGUCCCGCUCCGGGCUGCCCCUCUCCCGUGGGGGAAAUGCCCCCCUUCCCUGGUAACCCGCGUCUGCUUUCUGUUUGUGCCUCUGCCGACAUUUACUUUUAUCCACAUUUUUUUGGCUCAGCAUCUUGGUUCAGAUGCCGACCUUAGGCCUUUGCACAAAUGCCUUGCAAACACAUACGUCGGUCAAUGUCAGUAUCAGAUCGGGUUCGCUCACCCUGGACGCGUAUUUAUUUAUUCCCGUUUUACAAGCUAAGCGUCUCCUCCUGGGCCCGGCCCUUCAUUCCCUUAGUUCUGAGUUGUCCGCUCCGCUCACAGGCGCUGAGCUCCUCCGAGGUGCGGGGCUGGGGGCUCCACCCGCCGCCCUCUGAGCGCCUGUGCUGAUUGCUGCUCUCCGUCUUCCUUUUCAUUGCUUCGGCGUCCUCGGUGUGACUGCGCUCCGAGGUGCCCACACAGCGCAUAAUAUCCCAUGACAGGAUGCCUUUCCGGGUGCAAACCAAAAUAGCACUGGCCUUUGUGCGGCCUAUUCCUUUCUAAUCUCGUCCUGACACGCCGCCCAGCCUCACCUCUCAAACAUUUCGGUCCCUGUCUGACCCACGUCGUGAGGGCUGGGAUAGAUCUAAGGCGAUCUUCUGCGGCUUCUGUAUUUGCGAGCUUUGAAUCCAUUCACAUGUUUUCUCCUCACCACCAUCUGAAUUGCGUCCCUGGUGGGAAGUCAGACGCUUGUUUUUCAAUCCGGUUUCCUUCUGCUCACAAAGAUGUGAAAGAAACUAUAUCCAGGCUUGGAAGAGAGGCUCAAUUACAUUCUAGGAAAGUAACAAUUUAGACAGUCUCGUUUUAAGCAACCGCGUCUCUUUUUUUUAAAAAUUUAGAGCUGGAUGAGAACUGAGGAAUCGCUCCCCCAAACCUGAGCUUCUGCGGGGAGGGUGUGCUGAAUCAGGAUUAGAUUCGGGGCCUCCCGCCUCAGUUUGGUCUGUGGGUCCCCUUUCAAGUCUACCUUUUUUAAAAAAAAAUAUUUUUACUUUUAUUUUUUAAUUAAAGUAUAGUUGAUGUACAGUGUUCUGUCAAUUUCUGCUAUACAGCAAAGUGACCCAGUCAUACAUACAUAUACACAAUUUUUCUCACAUUAUCCUCAUCGGGUUCUAUUACAGGGAUUGGCUGGAGUUCCCUGUGCUGUACAGUAGGACCUCAUUGCUUUUUUUUUUUUUUUUUUUAAGGGCUGCACCCAAGGCAUAUGGAAGUUUGCAAAUUUCCCAGAGUUCCCAGGCUAGAGGUCAAAUCAGAGCCACAGCUGCCAGACGAUGCCUCAGCCACAGCAAUGCCAGAUCCAAGCCACAUCGCAACGUACACCACAGCUCAUGGCAAUGCCAGAUCCCUAACCCACUGAGCAAGGCCAGGAAUUGAACCUGCAUCCUCAUGGAUACUGGUUGGGUUCAUUUCCACUGAGCCACGUUGAGAACACUACUUAUCCAUCCUAAAUGUAAUUGCUUGCGUCCACUCGCCCCAUAUUCCCAGUCCAUUCCACUCCGCUCCUGCCUUGGCAACUACAAGUCUGCUCUCCAUGUCUGCGAGUCUGUUUCUGUUCUGUGGAAAGGUUCAUCUGUGCCAUAUAUUAGAUUCCACAUAGAAGUGAUAUCAUAUGGGUAUUUGUCUUUCUCUUUCUGACUUACUCCACUUAGUAUGAAUUCUACUUUUUUAAAUCAAAGAUAGGUAUGUUAAAAAAAGAGUAAAACCACACCCAAGGCCACAUCAAUCACACAUGUUUCCCGUGCCCUGAGCCCCAAACGUGCCUUUCAUCCCAGGCUCCUGGGGCCUCUGACUUGUGUUGCUUAACCCCUCGGGGACCCUGCAAGCUCACUCUGGUCCAGGCGGCCUCCCAGUGCGAUGGAACCCGGGCCUCUCUUCCCAGCAUCUGUUAACCCCCGGUGAUGGCCAUGUGUCUGCAACAGUUGUCGCUGGCAGCCAUGCCCCCUCAUGUUGCCUGACUGACUGCAUCUCUUUCUUGAUAGGGACUGCGUUUUAUUUUUGGACAGCUCGGGUUGUUAGAAAGUUUCCCCUCUGAUCAAGCCAACUCUGCCUUAUCCUACUGCCCUUCCUGGGUCCGUGUUGCUCCGUGACCUUCAAGCAGACUUGGGUCUUUCCCUGCCCUGCUCCUUGACCAUGGCCGUCCCCUCCCCUGACCUGCCUCAUUUUGACCCCUCGUCCUAUUUUCACUUUUCACCGAAGCUUUGCCAUUGACAACCCAGCUGGAGUUUCCCCCCGGCUUUUUCUUGACACUUUCUCUAGGACACCUCCUCUGGCAUCGACCGCCCCACCACCCCGGCUCCUAGAUCUUGAAGGUGUUGAGUUUGCUGCCCCCCCAAGUCAGGAGUAGCCGGGGUGAUGGCUCGCCCCACCAGUGUUGGGCCCCGUCAGUUUGGGAAUGAGCCUUGGCCUUGCAGGUCUUAGCUCUGUCCUCUGGAGCAGCAUCGGGUACAUCUAAUCCCUGCUGGUAUUUCAGGAGCAUCACCCCACCCCUCCGGCACGGCUCUGCUCCCUGUCCUGUGCGCUCUUUUAAAGGGUGGAUAUAAAUGCCUGUGUGUGGAGAUGGUGCUUGACCUGCACAGGGACCAGGGGCGUUCUCCUGCCUUGGCUGGAACAGUCUAUUUCAUCAGUGCCGAGUCUUGCCAUGGGUUUUGUUUAGCAGCGUGAUCACACCCUGAGCUGUGGCCAACCAAAUACAUCCACCUCUUCCCCUCUCAACUGCGGAGGUGCCGUAAGCCUGGUCCCGAUUCUUCUCUGCUUCCAAAUCUGGUGCAUCCUCUUAACUCCUAUUUCACCAGGAUAGCUUAUGCUAGCUGACGGAUGUCUUUUCGAAUCCUGAUUCUUUCUUGUGCCUUUACCCUUGUUUUUAUUAAUAUAUGAAUUGUGGGCUUCCAAAGCCUAGGCGGGCAUGUUCAGUAAGGGCACAGGUUCACUGCUCUGAACAGCUUUGCAUGUGCCCUGGUGUCCGUGAAAUAAGGAAUGGAUGGUGGAUGGCAGGGGCCGGGUUUCCCCUGUUGGAGGGAUGUUACAGAUGCCCAAGGGGCAAGGCGGGGUUAGAGGCAGAGGCAUCAGGAUGCAUGUGCGUUUAGCUUAGUACAGAUUCGGAUAGCUGGAUACAAGAGUAAUUGCAGGAGUUCCCACUGUGGUUCGGCAGUAACGAACCCCACUACUAUCCGUGAGGACGUGGGUUCAAUCUCUGGCCUCGAUUGAUGGGUUAAGAAUCUGGUGUUGUCCUAAGCUGUGGUGUAGGCCUGCAGCUCCAAUUUGACCCCUAGCCUGGGAACUUCUGUGUGCCGUGGGUGCGGUACUAAAAAGAUUGAAAAAAAUACAUCUACCUGGGCUCUGGGAAACCUAGCUAGGUUGACACAGCCCAAUACCACCAGUCAACUUCUUAUUUUGGUACCUACACACAUUUCCUGUAACCAUCCUUAACGUCCAAAUAAAUAGAGUCAUGCUU